GACGAACGCUGGCGGCGUGCUUAACACAUGCAAGUCGAACGGAAAGGCCCAGCUUGCUGGGUACUCGAGUGGCGAACGGGUGAGUAACACGUGGGUGAUCUGCCCUGCACUCUGGGAUAAGCCUGGGAAACUGGGUCUAAUACCGGAUAUGACCGACUGUCGCAUGGUGGUUGGUGGAAAGCUUUUGCGGUGUGGGAUGGGCCCGCGGGCUAUCAGCUUGUUGGUGGGGUAAUGGCCUACCAAGGCGACGACGGGUAGCCGAGCUGAGAGGGUGAUCGGCCACAAUGGGACUGAGACACGGCCCAGACUCCAACGGGAGGCAGCAGUGGGGAAUAUUGCACAAUGGGCGCAAGCCUGAUGCAGAGACGCCGCGUGAGGGAUGACGGCCUUCGGGUUGUAAACAUCUUUCACCAGGGACGAAGCGUGAGUGACGGUACCUGGAGAAGAAGCACCGGCCAACUACGUG
rnacentral:rRNA from 1 species